AACGAACGCUGGCGGCAUGCCUAACACAUGCAAGUCGAACGAGACCUUCGGGUCUAGUGGCGCACGGGUGCGUAACGCGUGGGAACCUACCCUUAGGUUCGGAAUAACUCCCCGAAAGGGGUGCUAAUACCGGAUAAUGUCUUCGGACCAAAGAUUUAUCGCCUUUGGAUGGGCCCGCGUUGGAUUAGCUAGUUGGUAGGGUAAAAGCCUACCAAGGCGACGAUCCAUAGCUGGUCUGAGAGGAUGAUCAGCCACACUGGGACUGAGACACGGCCCAGACUCCUACGGGAGGCAGCAGUGGGGAAUAUUGGACAAUGGGCGAAAGCCUGAUCCAGCAAUGCCGCGUGAGUGAUGAAGGCCUUAGGGUUGUAAAGCUCUUUUACCCGGGAUGAUAAUGACAGUACCGGGAGAAUAAGCUCCGGCUAACUCCGUG
rnacentral:rRNA from 1 species